rnacentral:piRNA from 1 species
UAGGGGACAGACUAUUUGUUGAGGGA